AAGGACUGCCGGUGACAAACCGGAGGAAGGUGGGGAUGACGUCAAGUCAUCAUGGCCCUUACGGCCUGGGCUACACACGUGCUACAAUGGUCGGUACAAAGGGUUGCCAAGCCGCGAGGUGGAGCUAAUCCCAUAAAACCGAUCGUAGUCCGGAUCGCAGUCUGCAACUCGACUGCGUGAAGUCGGAAUCGCUAGUAAUCGUGAAUCAGAAUGUCACGGUGAAUACGUUCCCGGGCCUU
rnacentral:rRNA from 1 species